rnacentral:rRNA from 1 species
UGGGGAAUAUUGCACAAUGGAGGGAACUCUGAUGCAGCGACGCCGCGUGAGUGAUGAAGGACUUCGUUUCGUAAAACUCUGUUCUAUGGGAAGAAAAGGACUGUACCAUAGGAGAAAGCUCCGGCUAAAUACGUGCCAGCAGCCGCGGUAAUACGUAUGGAGCGAGCGUUGUCCGGAAUUAUUGGGCGUAAAGGGUGCGCAGGCGGCUUUACAAGUUGGAUGUGAAAUAUUGUGGGUCAACCACAAACGUGCAUCCAAAACUGCAAAGCUUGAGUUAAGGAGAGGUAAGUGGAAUUCCUGGUGUAGCGGUGGAAUGCGGAGAUAUCAGGAGGAAUACCGGUGGCGAAGGCGACUUACUGGACUUAAACUGACGCUCAGGCACGAAAGCGUGGGGAGCAAACAGG